rnacentral:misc_RNA from 1 species
GAAAUGCGAUAAGUAGUGUGAAUUGCAGAAUUCAGUGAAUCAUCGAAUCUUUGAAUGCACAUUGCGCCCUUUGGUAUUCCUUAGGGCAUGCCUGUUCGAGCGUCAUCUAAACCUUCAAGCCCUGCUUGGUGUUGGGUGCCUGUCCCGCCUCCGCGCGCGGACUCACCUCAAAUCCAUUGGCGGCCCCCGCGUCGGCCACGAGCGCAGCAGAAACGCGAACUCGUGAGCCCGUCCGGGCGGCUCCCAGAAGCUACACCCACCCAGUUUGACCUCGGAUCAGGUAGGGAUACCCGCUGAACUUAAGC